rnacentral:rRNA from 1 species
CAGCAGCCGCGGGAAAACAGAGGGUGCGAGCGUUAAUCGGAUUUACUGGGCGUAAAGCGUGCGUAGGCGGCUUCUUAAGUCGGAUGUGAAAUCCCUGAGCUUAACUUAGGAAUUGCAUUCGAUACUGGGAAGCUAGAGUAUGGGAGAGGAUGGUAGAAUUCCAGGUGUAGCGGUGAAAUGCGUAGAGAUCUGGAGGAAUACCGAUGGCGAAGGCAGCCAUCUGGCCUAAUACUGACGCUGAGGUACGAAAGCAUGGGGAGCAAACAGGAUUAGAUACCCGGGUAGUCCCUGUCUCUUAUAC